rnacentral:lncRNA from 1 species
ACAAAGCAUUCUUCAGAGAAAUUAUAAUAUCUCAAUACAUAAACUAUAUUAGUUAAAAAAUAUAUAUGAAUACAUUCAUGACAUAUAACGAGACAGUGAAUACAAUGAAAUACGUAGAAUACAACGGGAUACAUUGAAAUACAAUGGAAAAAACAGUUAAUAUAAUAACGAGAUAAAUUGAAUUACAAUGAAAAAAAGAUAAUGAAUACAAUACAUGAAAAUACAGCGUGAUACAUUGAAAGUACAUUAAAAUAUAUGAAAAUGGCGAAGGGGAGAUUUUUCAGUAAACUGAUAAAACUGUGUCGGUGGAAUAGGCGUAAAGGACUAGGGUUUUGUUGACGCCGGAAAAUAAACGGACGAAGAACUGAAUGUGAGUUGACGGAGGAGAGGAGGAAGGGAUCAAAGAGUUUUGUCUUUCCGCAUCCUAAAGGCAGGAGGUACAGCGGUGGCGGCAACGACGGCGCCAUAAUCAUCAAAUUGGAGUUUGAACUGAAUGUGAUAGGUCAUUGAUAGUUCUACGGUAUCUUAAGCAAGAAUAGAGUAUUUGCCUCAUCGCUGAAAAUGAGAGAUAUUUAUUUUGGGAAAGUUAAUGCUUCCCCUGUUGAUCGAUUCCUCGUACUCCAAAGGACUUUGUCAUUGUUCGGAUUCAGGUGAUCGACUCGAUUUUUUUGUUGGAGAAGAGAAUGGCAUGUAUCAAAGUAGAGAGAAAAAGAAAAUAUUGUAACUGAAUAGCAUAUUUAGUGAAUUAGGGGUAGGAAGUAACCAAAAUUAGAUAUUUUGCUAUAAACGAUAAAAGGUAUUAUAGAAUAUAAUUUUUUUAAAUGGUAUUUAUUUGAAAUAAAUAAGAUAUUAAUAUCUGUUAUAAAAG